GUUACACCACAGCAGUGGGAAAGCCAUCCGUUUGGGAGUUGGGGAUAUUGAAGCAAAUUUGGAAUCUAGAACCAAAGUUCACACCGUUGGGAAUGUUCACACUGAAUAGAAGUUUUUUAACAACGGUUCUAAGUGUUGUAACAAAUUAUCUGUUGAUUGCCGUAGAACACUUACAGAUAAUUUAUAGUUUUCUACACUUUUAGUUGAUAAUUCAACUUCGUCUAGUCAGAAUUAUUAGUUCAGUAGAUGGAUGAAGAUAAAAGCGACAAGCUGGUUUUGAAUACCAGCCAGCAACUUCUUCAUAUCAAAAAAUUAAAACAUUAAAGUGUCCUCGAUUUUAUAUACUAGAGUCUUAAAUACAGAUAUUAAUACAUCCAGAUAAGAACGCUUUCCCAAAAACGAUGGGAGAGACGUUAUGAGAGA